AGAGGCGUUUAGAAUGGAGGAGAGGAGCUGGGCUCAUCUGCGAGCUUGAGUGGAACAGCAGUGGGGACAGGAGAGCUGCGACAUUGGAGAAGUUCCAAAGAGGCUGUUUCCUUGCUUAGCCACGGGUGGAAGUCACAUCCACUGAACUGUCACCUGGCAGGCAUUAUAAAUUAAGGAGGAAUAGUAACAAAGAGCUUGAAGACAUGCACAGCUCACAGGCCCCGGGUGGAGGCUGGCGACAUCAGACAGACAGAACCAAGACAUCUGAGGGGCAACCAGGAGGUGCGUGUGGCUGCAGAGCACACAGACUUGUCUUUGGACAAAAUUGAGAAGAACUCAUAAACUUGGCUUCCUCGCUUCUGCUCCUCAGACGCGCGUGGAUGAUUUGAAGAUAUUAGCCUAACAAGAUGGAAGCAGGUUUAAAAUUUUACAUAAGAAGUUACCUUUUUCAGGUGGACUGGAGAAGGAAGUAACCAGAGAGGGGGAAGCUAGUCAGGAAGCUGCUGAAGUUAUCCAAGAGGUAAGAAGCCUAAGAGCUUAGACAAAGACAAUAGUGAAAAGUGGAGAGAUAAAAGACACAUGUGACUCAGAAGAGCUAUAGAACGUUGUCACUAAAAAUGGAUUUGAGGAGGCUGCGGGAGGGGCAGAUCUAAGAUGACUUCCCGCACAUUAAAUCUGGAAAAAUGAUGGCACAGUGGAUGGCAACAAGGAAACUGGUGAGUGGAUCCUGUUUAGGGCAGGGUUAGUUUUAUUGUUUUUAUGCUUGACUUAAUGG
rnacentral:lncRNA from 1 species